rnacentral:lncRNA from 13 species
AUGGUAACACAGCGGAAGGCUAGGGUGGGAAACAGGCCAAGAGCAUUUCCUGAACAGAGGGGGGUCCCAGAGAAGCAUCACACUUCACUGGCAUCAUAUGACAGGGAUCACAUCAGGCCUGAGCCCAUGAUCCCGAUUGGAGAAGAGGGAUGCGGUAGGGGAGAGGAGGAUGAAGCUGGAACAGAAGAGAGGUGGAUACGCAAGAAAGGCAGAGAGGCUGGAGUGGGCAGGCAUGCAGGUUUGUCCACAGGAAGCCAUGAAUUCCUCGGAGAACAGAGGGUGUCAGGGCCCAGAACACGACUUGGGGGGGGUGGGGGGGAGAGACAUACUGUACCUUGUAACGUCUCAUAAUCCUCCUAGUUGACCCCUGACCCCGGCCUGCGUUUGUAUCAGGUCAUCGACGUGAGGAAUUGUAAUGAGUCACUNNNNNNNNNNACACACACACACACACACACACACACACACACACACACACACACACACACACACACACACACACUCUGCCACAAUGAGAGAGUCGGCAGCUUUUAUUUUGGACAGUCUCUCCUGAAUUCUAAGGGCUGUCAGGCGGUUUGAUUGAUAGUUGUGUUUAUCACCAUAUUAUUAAGUAAUCAGGCUCUCCACAGUUCAUUAUAAUUAAAGACUAGGGAAAAGUGUUUAUUUUUUGAGUCCUGUAAAAAAACAUAGAUUUGUGUUUUUUGAAUGUGUGUGUGUGUGUGUGUGACAGUGUGUUUAUAUUUGUAUUCUUUUCCACAGUGGACCUUAGUGACCCAGAAAAUCUGUGUGUCUGUCCACCACUGAGUUUAUGGCUACACUUGGGUCUCUGUGAGAGAAGAGAAAUGCAACCACGAUGACAUAUUAUAUCCAUACAGUAACAACAGGGAAUACUGCCCCAUAAUGGUAGCUCUUUAUUUCACUUGUCAUUUUAAUCUAUUUUAGUAAUCUUACAAUUUACAACUUUAUUUUCCCCAAGGGAAUGUUUACAACAUAUUAUACAGGAAAACCCCUCCAUAUUCUGUGAGGCAGCAGCCUGGGUCUCCUGUUCUCACCCAGGUUGGCAGCUAUGGCCUGAAGCUCUGCCUGUCCGGCUGGCCUACGUCUGUCUGUAUACCCCAGAGGUAAACACAGUGGUGCCACCGGACAUGCCGAGUGUGUCCUGACUGGAGACAGUGAGAAAGCAGAGAGAGCAUUGUGGCACUAUUCAGGAGGUCCCUGCCAGGUUUCUCUUCUGGAGGCAGGGUUCAUUUGAUGAAUGGCCAUCCGGUAAUGGGACAUGAAUUAGGACAAAAUGGCUCUUUUAAAAGCCCCAGCUCGUUCUGUUGCUAUGGCCAAUUUGAUUCAGGAAUCAGUCAAGUGGCAGAUGUUUCAUGUAGGAUCGUCGGUGUAGGUGCAACACACUGCUUAAGCACGGCUUCACAUGGCUUUUAACAAGCCAAUGAGAGAGGAGGGUGUUGAGGAGGAACAUCUGGGAUAAGAGGUAAAGAAUAUUGUUGCUAAUUCCAAAACACUACAAUGAGUGAUAUAUUGAAGUACCACAGGUGGGGAAGAGUGCAGGUGGGCAGGCAGACUAGGAGUUGGUUUCAUAAAAAGACAUUGGUGAUCCGGAAUUGUAGAUAGCAUUAAUGCAUUCCCUCAGAAAAGUAUUGGCCUUUUUUAUGUACAGUAUGUGUACUAAAUAAAGUGAAUCAUUU